rnacentral:rRNA from 1 species
UACGUAGGGUGCGAGCGUUGUCCGGAAUUAUUGGGCGUAAAGCGCACGUAGGCGGCUUAGCAAGUCGGAAGUGAGAUCCCUCGGCUCAACCAAGGAAGUGCUUUCGAAACUGCUGAGCUUGAGUACUUAAGAGGAUCGCGGAAUUCCCGGUGUAGAGGUGAAAUUCGUAGAUAUCGGGAGGAACACCAGUGGCGAAGGCGGCGAUCUGGGAAGAUACUGACGCUGAGGUGCGAAAGCGUGGGGAGCAAACAGG